rnacentral:tRNA from 1 species
GGGGAUGCGACAGCGUGGGAGCUGUGCCGGGCCGUAACCCCGGCGUCGAUGACUAGGCAGGUUCGAUUCCUGACAUCCCCACCA